rnacentral:rRNA from 1 species
CCUACGGGUGGCAGCAGUGGGGAAUAUUGCACAAUGGGCGGAACCCUGAUCCAGCGACGCCGCGUGAGCGAGGAUGGACUUCGGUAUGUAAAGCUCUAUUAGCCGGGACGAAAAAAGACGGUACCUGACUAAGACGCCCCGGCUAACUACGUGCCAGCAGCCGCGACAAUACGUAGGGGGCCAGCGUUAUCCGGAUUUACUGGGUGUAAAGGGAGUGUAGACGGGAAGGCAAGCCAGAAGUGAAAGGGCAGGGCUCAACCCUGUACGUGCUAUUGAAACUGGCGUGCUAGAGUGCAGGAGAGGUAAGUGGAAUGCGUGGUGUAGCGGUGAAAUGCAUAGAUAUUAGGCAGAACACCGAUUGCGAAGGCAGCUUACUGGACUGUGACUGACGUUGAGGCACGAAAGCGUGGGGAGCAAACAGGAUUAGAUACCCGAGUAGUC